ACUGCGCAUGCGUUUAGUUUUGAAUUCCUGACCGGACCACGCCUGACCCUCCUUCGGUUAAUUUCGGUAAUUCUGUUUGGUAUCUGAUAUGGAAAAGAUCCUGGCUGGGAUAGCCUUUUGUCAACUCCCUCCAUAUUGAUGUGUUAUAGCUGGACUGCGGAGCUUUCAUGUGUUCCUUACACAACUUGACCAACGCACUGAGCAGCUCAUGAAAGUGUUGAAGAACAAAGGAGGCUCUGCAGGGAGGAAAAUCAGGAUCAUUAUGGCCCCAAUGA